rnacentral:rRNA from 1 species
GAGAUUGAGUUUGAUCCUGGCUCAGAUUGAACGCUGGCGGAAUGCUUUACACAUGCAAGUCGAACGGCAGCACGGGAGCUUGCUCCUGGUGGCGAGUGGCGAACGGGUGAGUAAUGCGUCGGAACGUACCGAGUAAUGGGGGAUAACGCACCGAAAGGUGUGCCAAUACCGCAUACGCCCUGAGGGGGAAAGUGGGGGAUCGUAAGACCUCACGUUAUUCGAGCGGCCGACGUCUGAUUAGCUAGUUGGUGGGGUAAAGGCCUACCAAGGCGACGAUCGGUAGCGGGUCUGAGAGGAUGAUCCGCCACACUGGGACUGAGACACGGCCCAGACUCCUACGGGAGGCAGCAGUGGGGAAUUUUGGACAAUGGGGGCAACCCUGAUCCAGCCAUUCCGCGUGAGUGAAGAAGGCCUUCGGGUUGUAAAGCUCUUUCAGCAGGAACGAAACGGUGCGCUCUAACAUAGCGUGCUAAUGACGGUACCUGCAGAAGAAGCACCGGCUAACUACGUGUCAGCAGCCGCGGUAAUACGUAGGGUGCGAGCGUUAAUCGGAAUUACUGGGCGUAAAGCGUGCGCAGGCGGAUUGUUAAGCAAGAUGUGAAAUCCCCGGGCUUAACCUGGGAAUGGCAUUUUGAACUGGCAGUCUAGAGUGUGUCAGAGGGGGGUGGAAUUCCACGUGUAGCAGUGAAAUGCGUAGAGAUGUGGAGGAACACCGAUGGCGAAAGCAGCCCCCUGGGAUAACACUGACGCUCAUGUACGA